GAUGAACGCUGGCGGCGUGCUUAACACAUGCAAGUCGAACGAUUAAGACCCCUUCGGGGGUGUAUAGAGUGGCGAACGGGUGAGUAACACGUGGGCAACCUGCCCCUUCCUCUGGGAUAACACGGAGAAAUCCGUGCUAAUACCGGAUACUCCCUGUCUGCGGCAUCGCGGAUACGGGAAAGCUCCGACGGGAAGGGAGGGGCCCGCGGUCCAUCGGCGAGUGGUGGGGGGAACGGCCUACCGAGGGGACGGUGGAUAGCCGGGUUGAGAGACCGACCGGCCACAUUGGGACUGAGACACGGCCCAGACUCCUACGGGAGGCAGCAGUGGGGAAUUUUGCGCAAUGGGGGAAACCCUGACGCAGCAACGCCGCGUGCGGGAUGAAGGCCUUCGGGUUGUAAGCCGCUUUCAGCAGGGAAGAAUACAGACGGUACCUGCAGAAGAAGCUCCGGCUAACUACGUGCCAGCCGCCGCCGUAA
rnacentral:rRNA from 1 species